UUUCCGUCGUCAUUAUAGAGGCUGAGAUUGCCGUCUCUCCUCACUGCCACAUGGUCUUCAUACUGAGAAGCACUCAGUCUGUGGCAGUUGGGUCUAACGGUCGUCGGAUUUAACGUCUAUCAGCAACGGAAUUGUAGGCACACCGACUUAUUGGUAAAAAAAUUAUCAACAUUCAUCUUCUUUCCAUGGUGUUGAGUUUUGUGGAAGACGUUGUGUCACAGGGAUAUUUGCAUGACAAAAUAUUACUCAACGGAGAUGUUGUAUCACGGGGAUGUUUAUAACUGCAAGGUGGAAGACUGCGAGCUGUCUUCAAGAAUACUCACCUGGACACAUUUGGGUGAAGACAGAACAGCAUGAGUGGUACAGUCAAAGGGUCUAGCUUUUAUAAGGCGUAGAAGCAAAUA